rnacentral:rRNA from 1 species
GAUGAACGCUGGCGGCGUGCCUAAUACAUGCAAGUCGAGCGAACAGAUGAGAAGCUUGCUUCUCUGAUGUUAGCGGCGGACGGGUGAGUAACACGUGGGUAACCUACCUAUAAGACUAGGAUAACUCCGGGAAACCGGGGCUAAUACCGGAUAAUAUUUUGAACCGCAUGGUUCAAUAGUGAAAGACGGUUUCGGCUGUCACUUAUAGAUGGACCCGCGCCGUAUUAGCUAGUUGGUAAGGUAACGGCUUACCAAGGCGACGAUACGUAGCCGACCUGAGAGGGUGAUCGGCCACACUGGAACUGAGACACGGUCCAGACUCCUACGGGAGGCAGCAGUAGGGAAUCUUCCGCAGUGGGCGAAAGCCUGACGGAGCAACGCCGCGUGAGUGAUGAAGGUCUUCGGAUCGUAAAACUCUGUUGUUAGGGAAGAACAAAUUUGUUAGUAACUGAACAAGUCUUGACGGUACCUAACCAGAGAGCCACGGCUAACUACGUGCCAGCAGCCGCCGUAA